rnacentral:rRNA from 1 species
GUGUCAGCAGCCGCGGUAAUACGUAGGGUGCGAGCGUUAAUCGGAAUUACUGGGCGUAAAGCGUGCGCAGGCGGUUUCACAAGCUCGAUGUGAAAGCCCCGGGCUUAACCUGGGAAUGGCAUUGAGGACUGUGGAGCUUGAGUGCGGCAGAGGGAGGUGGAAUUCCACGUGUAGCAGUGAAAUGCGUAGAGAUGUGGAGGAACACCGAUGGCGAAGGCAGCCUCCUGGGCCGACACUGACGCUCAUGCACGAAAGCGUGGGGAGCAAACAGGAUUAGAUACCCUGGUAGUCCACGCCCUAAACGAUGUCAACUGGUUGUUGGGGAAGGAAACUUCCUUAGUAACGAAGCUAACGCGUGAAGUUGACCGCCUGGGGAGUACGGCCGCAAGGUUAAA